rnacentral:rRNA from 1 species
AUUGAACGCUGGCGGCAGGCCUAACACAUGCAAGUCGAACGAGUGGCGGACGGGUGAGUAAUGUCUGGGAAACUGCCUGAUGGAGGGGGAUAACUACGGGAAACGGUAGCAAAUACCGCAUACCAUCGGAUGUGCCCAGAUGGGAUUAGCUAGUAGGUGGGGUAAAGGCUCACCAAGGCGACGAUCCCUAGCUGGUCUGAGAGGAUGAGCAGCCACACUGGAACUGAGACACGGUCCAGACUCCUACGGGAGGCAGCAGUGGGGAAUAUUGCACAAUGGGCGCAAGCCUGAUGCAGCCAUGCCGCGUGUAUGAAGAAGGCCUUCGGGUUGUAAAGUUCUUUCAGUGGGGAGGCGUUACCCGCAGAAGAAGCACCGGCUAACUCCGUGCCAGCAGCCGCGGUAAUUC